UCUUUUGCUUCUUGUGUUUUCUGGAUCUGUUUUAGGGGUCUCUUUGCUGUUGUGCCAUUGGAUUUAAAUUUCACGAACCCUAAAUCCAUGAUUUUUGAGCCAGGCUGAAAAACACAACUGCGCGGGCUGGACUGGUAGGAAAUAUCGGGAAAUUUUCCAAAAAAUCGGUAAAAAUACCUCCGGUUGCUCCGCGUGUCAGAUCCACUCGCGAUUUUUCUCCGAUUUAUCGGUGCUUCACC
rnacentral:lncRNA from 1 species